rnacentral:rRNA from 1 species
UGGGGAAUAUUGGACAAUGGGGGGAACCCUGAUCCAGCAAUGCCGCGUGUGUGAAGAAGGCCUUCGGGUUGUAAAGCACUUUCAGUAGGGAGGAAAGGUGCGUAGUUAAUACCUGCGCAAUUGACGUUACCUACAGAAGAAGCACCGGCUAACUCCGUGCCAGCAGCCGCGGUAAUACGGAGGGUGCGAGCGUUAUUCGGAAUUACUGGGCGUAAAGCGCACGCAGGCGGUUGCCCAAGUCAGAUGUGAAAGCCCCGGGCUUAACCUGGGAACUGCAUUUGAAACUGGGCGACUAGAGUAUGAAAGAGGAAAGCGGAAUUUCCAGUGUAGCAGUGAAAUGCGUAGAUAUUGGAAGGAACACCGAUGGCGAAGGCAGCUUUCUGGGUCGAUACUGACGCUCAUGUGCGAAAGCGUGGGGAGCAAACA